AGCAGCCGCGGUAAUUCCAGCUCCAAUAGCGUAUAUUAAAGUUGUUGCAGUUAAAAAGCUCGUAGUUGAAUUUCGGGAUCAAUAUGUCGGUCGUGCCUUGGUACGUACUGGUAUCAUUGGUCUCUCCUUUCUGACGAACCAUGAUGUCAUUAAUUUGGUGUUAUGGGAAGUUAGGACUGUUACUUUGAAAAAUUAGAGUGUUUAAAGCAGGCUUUAGCUUGAAUACAUUAGCAUGGAAUAAUGAAAUAGGACGUUCGAACCUAUUUUGUUGGUUUCUAGGAUCAACGUAAUGAUUAAUAGGGAUAGUUGGGGGCAUUAGUAUUCAAUUGUCAGAGGUGAAAUUCUUGGAUUUAUUGAAGACUAACUACUGCGAAAGCAUUUGCCAAGGAUGUUUUCAUUAAUCAAGAACGAAAGUUAGGGGAUCGAAGACGAUCAGAUACCGUCGUAGUCUUAACCAUAAACUAUGCCGACUAGGGAUCGGAUGAUGUUAAUUUUUAAUGACUCAUUCGGCGCCUUACGG
rnacentral:rRNA from 1 species